ACCUAAAUAGCUUAUACAAGAGCAUAGUAUUGAAGAUACUAAGGAAAUUUAGAUUUUUAGGUA
rnacentral:tRNA from 1 species